CUCCUUCCCUGUCUCUCUCUCUCUCUCUCUCUCUCUCUCAAACCCCUUGUCAUCUCUGUCACAGCCAUUCGAAGAAUGAUGCAGGGGUACCGUAGACAAUGGAAACGAUCGUUCACGGCUAGGAUUGACCCUCACCUCGAAGGGUGUGGGGCAUCUUGAUCAGGCGAGGUAUUGGCUGCAGGUCAUCCGUUAGUGGUUUGGAGCUAUUGGGUUUUUUCGGUCAUUUUGUUGGCAACAGGGAGUAUGAGACAAGAAACUACAGUUUUGAGUAAGUGAACCAAGCUAUGGCUGAACAGCUUGCAACGUGCCAGAACUGCAAGGGGAGCCUGAAGAGAUUUCUAGAGAGAAGGCCCGUUUGGCUGCAAAAGAGACCUUUGCGGCAAACAGAUGGUACUCUUAUGCUGGAUGUGUUUUACCAUAGACUGACUGACUGACUGCUCAGAAAGG